rnacentral:rRNA from 1 species
AUUGAACGCUGGCGGCAUGCCUUAUACAUGCAAGUCGAACGGCAGCACGGGAGCAAUCCUGGUGGCGAGUGGCGAACGGGUGAGUAAUAUAUCGGAACGUGCCCAGUCGUGGGGGAUAACGCAGCGAAAGCUGUGCUAAUACCGCAUACGAUCUAAGGAUGAAAGCGGGGGACCUUUCGGGGCCUCGCGCGAUUGGAGCGGCCGAUGUCAGAUUAGGUAGUUGGUGGGGUAAAGGCCCACCAAGCCGACGAUCUGUAGCUGGUCUGAGAGGACGACCAGCCACACUGGGACUGAGACACGGCCCAGACUCCUACGGGAGGCAGCAGUGGGGAAUUUUGGACAAUGGGCGCAAGCCUGAUCCAGCCAUGCCGCGUGCGGGAAGAAGGCCUUCGGGUUGUAAACCGCUUUUGUCGGGGAAGAAAUGCUCCGGGAUAAUACCCUGGGGAGAUGACGGUACCCGAAGAAUAAGCACCGGCUAACUACGUGCCAGCCGCCGCGGUAA